GGGGAGAGUGUUGUACCCCAGCAUAAGCUGGUGGUUGCUGACUUCCGCUUUCGGAUUCGUGUCCAGCGGGAUAAGCGUGCCAAGGUCGCUAGAACGAAGUGGUGGAAUCUCAAGGGGGAGGUAGCUCAGGUGUUCAAGGAGAGGGUAUUUAAGGAGGGCCCUUGGGAGGAAGGAGGGGAUGCGGACAAUGUGUGGAUGAAGACGGCGACUUGCAUUCGUAAGGUGGCCUCGGAGGAGUUUGGAGUGUCCAGGGGAAGGAGAAGCGAAGAUAAGGAUACAUGGUGGUGGAACGAUGAUAUCCAGAAGGCGCUUAAAGAGAAGAAAGAUUGCUUCAGACGCCUAUACCUGGAUAGGAGUGCAGACAACAUAGAGAAGUACAAGAUGGCGAAGAAGGCCGCAAAG
rnacentral:rRNA from 1 species